UGCAGAUUAUAAAUCUCAUUGUUGUGAAAUUGACAAAUAAACAAAGGAAAAAGUUUCCAAAUAAGGAUCACAAGCAAAAGAUUUUGUGUCAACCUUCUGAUGACACAAUGAAAGAUAUAGUAGAAGAUUAUUUUGGAAUUUACAGAUACACUGGCCCCCUUCAUGCUUGUGAGGAGAUUUACAUGCCCUUCAACCAUAGGGAAAACCACUGGUUGUGCUUGAAUGUAAACAUGGAAAAACGGGUUGCCUAUCUAUUCGACUCCAGCAAAUGUAUUGACACCGAUGAGGAUUGAAA